AAAUACUGACACGCGACCUUCCAUCACAAGGUCAGAAAUACCAAAAUACCGACACCCGACCCUCCAUCACAAGGUCAGAAAUACCAAAAUACCAACAACCG